rnacentral:lncRNA from 1 species
UUUAUUUUUCAUAACUGGCCCCUCCACUAGUCUAUUUUAGUUCCUGCCUUGCUGUAAUGUAAAGUUAACUAAUUUUUUUCUGCCUCUCAAAAUUAGUUUGAGAAACUAUGGUAACUAUAUAUGGAUGCCUAAAGCUGUAUGAGAAUUGCAUGGGGUACAGGUGGAGGGAUUAUCGUUUUCAUCAUCACGAAUGUGAUCCUUAUUUGAAAUGUAUAAAAAGCAAACUUGAAAAAUUCACUUUUGGAAAAUGAAUGCUCUGUUUGGACUGUGCCAGGCCUGGCAGGUGGUAGAAGCCAGUUUUGGAUCCAGUGAAGGGAGGUCUCAGGAGGCCUCUAGAGCUGGUGGGCCAGAGAAGGGCUGAAUCCAGGGUGGACUUAGAGGCAGUGGCUGUGGGGUGAAGGGAGGUUAAGGGGCUGGAUGAAUUCUCUGAGACACAUUAGCAGCCACACAUCCUCUAAAUAGGGUGUCUGCUGCCUUGGUCUUGGGUCUGAAAGUUGCUGGUUCUGUCACUGAAGGGAGCUGUUUGUGAGGGAAGCCUUGGGUCUGCAGCAGAAUACACUCUGAAUCAUCACAAGGAAGAGAAUAAGGUGAGAUUGUUUAGUUGUUGGGUGUGUGAGGGCUCUGGGAGAUGGUCCAAGGAAAUCAGAGAGUAUUAGCUCAAUGUGUAUGAUUUGCUCCAGAUUAUCUUAGGCAUUGUGGGUGACACAUUUUCGGGCACUCUGUAGUAUUAAACCGCAUAAUUUCAGAUAUGUUCAGAUAUGU